CUUAUGCCGGCGACCGGCGGACGGGUGCGUAACGCGUAUGUAACCUACCUUUGACAGGGGGAUAACAUCGAGAAAUUGGUACUAAUACCCCAUAACACCACCGGAGGCAUCUUCGGUGGUUGAAAACUCAGGUGGUCAGAGAUGGACAUGCGUUGUAUUAGCUAGUUGGUGAGGUAACGGCUCACCAAGGCGACGAUACAUAGGGGGACUGAGAGGUCAACCCCCCACAUUGGUACUGAGACACGGACCAAACUCCUACGGAAGGCAGCAG
rnacentral:rRNA from 1 species